rnacentral:rRNA from 1 species
GACGAACGCUGGCGGCGUGCUUAACACAUGCAAGUCACGGGGGCCCGCAAGGGCAACCGGCGAACGGGUGCGUAACACGUGAGCAAGCUUCCGAUUAGUGGGGGAUAGCCGGCCCAACGGCCGGGUAAUACCGCAUACGUUCACUGGACGGCAUCGUCUGGUGAGGAAACCUCCGGGGCUAAUCGAGGCGCUCGCGGCCUAUCAGCUAGUUGGCGGGGUAACGGCCCACCAAGGCUAUGACGGGUAGCUGGUCUGAGAGGAUGGCCAGCCACAUUGGGACUGCGACACGGCCCAGACUCCUACGGGAGGCAGCAGUGGGGAAUAUUGCGCAAUGGACGAAAGUCUGACGCAGCGACGCCGCGUGUGGGAUGAAGCUCUUCGGGGUGUAAACCACUGUUGCCCGGGACGAACCUCCCCUUUCGAGGGGACUGACGGUACCGGGUGAGGAAGCACCGGCUAACUCUGUGCCAGCCGCCGCCGUAAUAC